rnacentral:rRNA from 1 species
UAGGGAAUAUUGGGCAAUGGGCGGAAGCCUGACCCAGCCAUGCCGCGUGCAGGAUGAAGGCCUUCUGGGUUGUAAACUGCUUUUAUCAGGGACGAAAACACCCAUGCGUGGGGAACUGACGGUACCUGAGGAAUAAGCACCGGCUAACUCCGUGCCAGCAGCCGCGGUAAUACGGAGGGUGCAAGCGUUGUCCGGAUUUAUUGGGUUUAAAGGGUGCGUAGGCGGCCCAUUAAGUCAGUGGUGAAAGCCCGGGGCUCAACCCCGGAACCGCCAUUGAUACUGGUGGGCUUGAGUAUGGACGAGGUUGGCGGAAUUGAGGGUGUAGCGGUGAAAUGCUUAGAUACCCUCAAGAACACCGAUUGCGUAGGCAGCUAACUAGGCCAUAACUGACGCUGAGGCACGAAAGCGUGGGGAGCGAA